rnacentral:rRNA from 1 species
AUGCACGCUGGCGGCGUGCCUAACACAUGCAAGUCGAACGAAGCACCUUACCUGAUUCUUCGGAUGAAAGUUUGGUGACUGAGUGGCGGACGGGUGAGUAACGCGUGGGUAACCUGCCCUGUACAGGGGGAUAACAGCUGGAAACGGCUGCUAAUACCGCAUAAGCGCACGAGGAGACAUCUCCUUGUGUGAAAAACUCCGGUGGUACAGGAUGGGCCCGCGUCUGAUUAGCUGGUUGGCAGGGUAACGGCCUACCAAGGCAACGAUCAGUAGCCGGUCUGAGAGGAUGAACGGCCACAUUGGAACUGAGACACGGUCCAAACUCCUACGGGAGGCAGCAGUGGGGAAUAUUGCACAAUGGGGGAAACCCUGAUGCAGCAACGCCGCGUGAGUGAAGAAGUAUUUCGGUAUGUAAAGCUCUAUCAGCAGGGAAGAUAAUGACGGUACCUGACUAAGAAGCUCCGGCUAAAUACGUG